rnacentral:rRNA from 1 species
GACGAACGCUGGCGGCGUGCUUAACACAUGCAAGUCGUACGGAAAGGCCCGGCUUUUGUGGGGUGCUCGAGUGGCGAACGGGUGAGUAACACGUGAGUAACCUGCCCUUGACUUUGGGAUAACUUCAGGAAACUGGGGCUAAUAUAGGAUAGGAGCUCCUGCUGCAUGGGGGGGGUUGGAAAGUUUCGGCGGUUGGGGAUGGACUCGCGGCUUAUCAGCUUGUUGGGGUGGUAGUGGCUGACGAAGGCUAUGACGGGUAGCCGGCCUGGGAGGGUGACCGGCCACAUUGGGACUGAGAUACGGACCAGACUCCUACGGUAGGCAGCAGUGGGGAAUAUUGCACAAUGGGCGGAAGCCUGAUGCAGCAACGCCGCGUGCGUGAUGACGGCCUUCGGGUUGUAAACCGCUUUCGCCUGUGACGAAGCGUGAGUGACGGUAAUGGGUAAAGAAGCACCGGCUAACUACGUG